GCCAGGCAUGGUGGCGCAUGCCUGUAAUCCCAGCUACUGGGGAGGCUGAGGUGGGAGAAUUGCUUGAAUCCAGGAGGCGGAGGUUGCAGUGAGCCAAGAUCGUGCCACUGCACUCCAGCCUGGGUGACAGAGUGAGACUCUGUCUCAA
rnacentral:SRP_RNA from 1 species